CUUUACAAAAAUCUGAUUUAGUUCUUGAUGAGAACUUUCAUAUUGUUAUUUCUUCAAGGUUUGUCUUUAUAGGUGUUUAUUUAUUAAUGAACAUUUUAAAUAAAAAGAUGAAAUGACCAGAAUACCCUUAAAUAGAUAGACAUAACUGAAAAUUUUAACUUGGUUAGUGCUAAAGGACGAAAGGUGUAAUGCGUUUUCGAAUAAAGGACGGUGACUGUAAUUAUUGAAGUUAAAGGUUAUCCAUUGCAACUCGCUACAAACAUAAAGGACGAAAAGUGUAAUUUACCCUUUGUUUAAUCAAGCUAAUACUGGUUGUUAAUUAUGAAUCAAGGUUCUGUGUUAAUGAUUCUCGUUGUUCGUUCGGUUAUCAAUGCUGGAGUUGUGAUGGACAUUUGGUAUGACAUAACUGCUGUUUUUGUUGGUUAUGUUAUGAGUAUUAUCAUUCAAAUUUGUGCUUGCAGAACAUAGUUGAGGAUUGAGAUUGAACUUAGUUUUGAUCGCGAAUUCUAAACUAAACAUGGUGCAUAGUAGUUGGGAAGCUGAUACGAUGUUGUUAAAUGCUGGACCCACUGUUGCUGUUCUAUCAACAAACUCAGUCUCCAUUUUAACCUUUAUUGUUGGAGAAUUAACAAUCUAAGUUCAAUUGCCUAAAAGGAGACUGAACCAUAGUCACAUAAUUCGCUAGUUGAGCCAUGAUCUCCGAUCCAGUUUGAACGAUCCCAAUCGCGGUACGUUCGCCAUCGACCCGGAUCGCGAUUUCGAAGUUAAAAUUGGCAUUCCCAACUCGUCAAUUCAAUCGUAUUACGUGCUAUCGGGAUCGCGAUUUGCUGGAAUUCGGAACGUGUAAUCGUGUAUGCAGUUCAAGAGUUAACUCUAGCAAGUAAGUAUUCACUAUGCUUUAAGUGAUUUGAGGAUGUUUUGGCUAUUUGUAAGGAUCGAUCUUUAGUGUCCUAUGAUUAUAUGCUUUAACAAAUUGAGGCUGUCAACUGGCUGGUUAAUCUCACAGAAACAACAAUUGCUUAUGGGAAGACGAAGGGUGCAUAAAGUUUAUUGUAUUGAACGUUAGAUUGUUAGAAAACAUAUUGUUAUGUAUGAUUUUUGAAGUAUGGCGACUUCAAACAGGAUUUGGAAACUUUUUGGUCAAAUUUUCUGCAAUUUUUUAGAAAAAAAAAGGAUUUUCCAGUUU